AGAGUUUGAUCCUGGCUCAGGACGAACGCUGGCGGCGUGCCUAACACAUGCAAGUCGAACGGUAACAGGUCCUUCGGGACGCUGACGAGUGGCGCACGGGUGAGUAACGCGUGGAUAUCUGCCUAUUAGUGGGGGACAACUACAGGAAACUGUAGCUAAUACCGCAUAAUCUCUACGGAGGAAAGCAGGGGACCUUUCGGGGCCUUGCGCUGAUAGAUGAGUCCGCGUCUGAUUAGCUAGUUGGUAAGGUAAAAGCUUACCAAGGCGAUGAUCAGUAGCUGGUCUGAGAGGAUGAUCAGUCACACUGGAACUGAGACACGGUCCAGACUCCUACGGGAGGCAGCAGUGGGGAAUUUUGCACAAUGGGCGAAAGCCUGAUGCAGCGACGCCGCGUGCGGGAAGAAGGCCUUAGGGUUGUAAACCGCUUUCAACAGGGAAGAAGGAAUGAGACUUAAUACGUCUCUGACUUGACGGUACCUGUAGAAGAAGCACCGGCUAAUUUCGUGCCAGCAGCCGCGGUAAUACGAAAGGUGCAAGCGUUGUUCGGAUUUACUGGGCGUAAAGAGAUCGUAGGUGGUUUGUUAAGUCGGAUGUGAAAUCCCGGGGCUCAACCCCGGAACUGCAUUCGAUACUGGCAGACUUGAGUUCGGGAGGGGUAAGCGGAAUUCCGUGUGUAGCAGUGAAAUGCGUAGAUAUACGGAGGAACACCUGAGGCGAAGGCGGCUUACUGGACCGAUACUGACACUGAGGAUCGAAAGCGUGGGUAGCAAACAGGAUUAGAUACCCUGGUAGUCCACGCCGUAAACGUUGUGCACUAGGUGUAGGAGGUAUCGACCCCUUCUGUGCCGCAGCUAACGCAUUAAGUGCACCGCCUGGGGAGUACGCGCGCAAGCGUGAAACUCAAAGGAAUUGACGGGGGCCCGCACAAGCGGUGGAGCAUGUGGUUUAAUUCGAGGCAACGCGAAGAACCUUACCCAGACUUGACAUCCCGGGACCACCAUGGAGACAUGGCUUUCUCUUCGGAGACCCGGUGACAGGUGUUGCAUGGCUGUCGUCAGCUCGUGUCGUGAGAUGUUGGGUUAAGUCCCGCAACGAGCGCAACCCCUAUUACUAGUUACCAGCGGUUCGGCCGGGCACUCUAGUAAGACUGCCGGUGAUAAACCGGAGGAAGGUGGGGACGACGUCAAGUCAUCACGGCCCUUACGUCUGGGGCUACACACGUGCUACAAUGGUCGGUACAAUGAGUUGCAAGACCGCGAGGUGGAGCUAAUCUCAAAAAACCGGCCUCAGUUCGGAUUGGAGUCUGCAACUCGACUCCAUGAAGUUGGAAUCGCUAGUAAUCGCGUAUCAGCUACGACGCGGUGAAUACGUUCCCGGGCCUUGUACACACCGCCCGUCACAUGACCCGAGUCGGGGGUACCCGAAGUCACUGACCCAACCCGCAAGGGAGGGAGGUGCCGAAGGUAUGCCUGGUAAGGGGGAUGAAGUCGUAACAAGGUAUCCGU
rnacentral:rRNA from 1 species